GGCUCUAUAGUGUAAAGGUUAACACGCCUCUCUGUCUAAGAGGAAGUGAGGGUUCGAUUCCCUCUAGAGCCGCCA
rnacentral:tRNA from 1 species